GCGUAGCUCAGCUUGGUAGAGUGCCAGUUUUGGGAACUGGAUGUCGCAGGUUCGAAUCCUGUCGC
rnacentral:tRNA from 1 species